rnacentral:rRNA from 1 species
AUUGAACGCUGGCGGCAUGCUCUACACAUGCAAGUCGAACGGUAACAGGCCGCAAGGUGCUGACGAGUGGCGAACGGGUGAGUAAUGCAUCGGAACGUGCCCAGUCGUGGGGGAUAACUACUCGAAAGAGUAGCUAAUACCGCAUACGAUCUAUGGAUGAAAGCGGGGGACCGCAAGGCCUCGCGCGAUUGGAGCGGCCGAUGUCAGAUUAGGUAGUUGGUGGGGUAAAGGCUCACCAAGCCAACGAUCUGUAGCUGGUCUGAGAGGACGACCAGCCACACUGGGACUGAGACACGGCCCAGACUCCUACGGGAGGCAGCAGUGGGGAAUUUUGGACAAUGGGCGCAAGCCUGAUCCAGCAAUGCCGCGUGCAGGAAGAAGGCCUUCGGGUUGUAAACUGCUUUUGUACGGAACGAAACGGCUCUGGUUAAUACCCGGGGCUAAUGACGGUACCGUAAGAAUAAGCACCGGCUAACUACGUG